AGAGUUUGAUCCUGGCUCAGGAUGAACGCUAGCUACAGGCUUAACACAUGCAAGUCGAGGGGCAGCAUGGAAGAAGCUUGCUUCUUCUGAUGGCGACCGGCGCACGGGUGCGUAACGCGUAUCAAACCUGCCUCAUACUCGGGGAUAGCCUUGCGAAAGUAAGAUUAAUACCCGAUGUUGUUGCUUUCUCGCAUGGGAGAGUAACCAAAGAUUUAUCGGUAUGAGAUGGUGAUGCGUCCGAUUAGGUAGUAGGCGGGGUAACGGCCCACCUAGCCUUCGAUCGGUAGGGGUUCUGAGAGGAAGGUCCCCCACACUGGAACUGAGACACGGUCCAGACUCCUACGGGAGGCAGCAGUGAGGAAUAUUGGUCAAUGGGCGAGAGCCUGAACCAGCCAAGUAGCGUGCAGGAUGACGGCCCUCCGGGUUGUAAACUGCUUUUAGUUGGGAAUAAAAAAGAGGACGUGUCCUCUAUUGUAUGUACCUUCAGAAAAAGGACCGGCUAAUUCCGUGCCAGCAGCCGCGGUAAUACGGAAGGUCCAGGCGUUAUCCGGAUUUAUUGGGUUUAAAGGGAGCGUAGGCGGAUUGUUAAGUCAGCGGUUAAAGGGUGUGGCUCAACCAUGCAUUGCCGUUGAAACUGGCGAUCUUGAGUGCAGACAGGGAUGCCGGAAUUCGUGGUGUAGCGGUGAAAUGCUUAGAUAUCACGAAGAACUCCGAUCGCGAAGGCAGGUGUCCGGGCUGCAACUGACGCUGAGGCUCGAAAGUGUGGGUAUCAAACAGGAUUAGAUACCCUGGUAGUCCACACAGUAAACGAUGUAUACUCGCGGUUUGCGAUAGACAGUAAGCCGCCAAGCGAAAGCAUUAAGUAUACCACCUGGGGAGUACGCCGGCAACGGUGAAACUCAAAGGAAUUGACGGGGGCCCG
rnacentral:rRNA from 1 species